rnacentral:misc_RNA from 1 species
GAUGAAGAACGCAGCGAAAUGCGAUAAGUAAUGUGAAUUGCAGAAUUCAGUGAAUCAUCGAAUCUUUGAACGCACCUUGCGCCCUUUGGCCAUUCCGAAGGGCAUGCCUGUUUGAGUAUCAUGAACACCUCAACUCUCAUGGCUCGCCAUGAUGAGCUUGGAUUUGGGGGUCUUGCUGGCCUGUGGUCGGCUCCUCUCAAAUGGAUCAGCUUGCCAGUGUUUGGUGGCAUCACAGGUGUGAUAACUAUCUGCGCUUGUGGUUUUCCAUCAGAUAACCUUCAGUGAUGGAGGUUCGCUGGAGCUCAUAAACGUCCCCCCUAAGCGGGGACAGCCCUUUGAAUGUUUGAUCUCAAAUCAGGUAGGACUACCCGCUGAACUUAAGCAUAUCAAUAAGCGGAGGA